rnacentral:rRNA from 1 species
CCUACGGGAGGCAGCAGUGGGGAAUAUUGCACAAUGGGCGAAAGCCUGAUGCAGCCAUGCCGCGUGUGUGAAGAGGGCCUUCGGGUUGUAAAGCACUUUCAGCGAGGAGGAAAGGUUAGUAGUUAAUAACUGCUAGCUGUGACGUUACUCGCAGAAGAAGCACCGGCUAACUUCGUGCCAGCAGCCGCGGUAAU